AGGCUGCUUUCAACUAUUUGUGGCUGGGAAUCCAAGAAUAUCUGUUCUUACCGCUAGAGAUCCCCCAACCCCUUGUCACCUGAUUCAAGGAGGAGACAGAUUCUUUGGGAUUGUCCUUCUGAAGCCCUUGAGUGUCCUUCCUCACGGCUGUACCCGCAGAGGAAGAUGAGCUGGGCUGUGCGGAAGGAAGGCUGUGGACAAGCCAACCUCGGGACGGGUUAAUGUCACAUGCACGGGAACCUCACCUACCUGAGAGACUCAGGGACAGAAAGGUCUUUUUCAGUCCAAACUUCUCUGAGAGAGUCGGGGGCAAUGUCAUACGGUGAUGGGACACCAUCAAAGUGGCCACGCAGGACGUUUGCUGGCAGAUUUCCACGUGGUGUUUGAUGGGAUGGCAUCUGGGACUUUUCUGAGCAGUUUUGCCUGAACACAGUGCCCCCAGCAACGGGACCAGUCUUACCGCAUCGCCUUACAGACCGCGGCUGAAAUCCCCAGGAGACAUCGGACGGGUCACUGCUACGAGCUGGUCAUCGCUACAGGACUGGUCAUCGCCAGGGACUGAGGGUGUGCGGACCCCAGGCUGCAGCGGCUCACGAGGGGACAGGUGGCUGGGCACCGUGGCUGCAACAGCUGGAAAGCAGUGUGAAUCUGGAAACGUGGUCUGGCCCCCACAUCGUACGGGGGUCAGACCUGUGUCCGUAGCGCGACUUUCCCACGCCGGCAACGAUCAUCCUCUCCGAUCUGCGAGCAGAACUUCCGGAGGAAGCCUGUGAGUCUGGUACCCGCCAUGUGAAUGAGCUUGGUUACUAAGGACGGUCACCCUCCCGGGAAGACCACACAGCCGCCAUUCGGGGCGACUCCUGUCCCGGCUGCCCCCAUGUGCCCAGGCUGGCGUCCUCUAGUUUGCUCAAACAAGUCUGCCAGCUUCCACAUCUCCCCACAGGUCCGCCUCCACAGUCCUCACACCCGCACCUGCCAAGCUCACUGCCAGGAUAAGAAAGACCGAUGGGGUUUGGGGAAGAUUCCUGCAGCUUCCAAAGUUACCAUAAAGCAAAACAAAACAAAGAAAAAACAUUUAAGGGAAAAUAUGUGUGUUUGGGUUUAUUUCAGGAGAAUAUUUUCUCAAUUUCUGCUUAACUUAAAUUGCUUUCUUUUAAGCCACGACUCACAGCAGUUUUGGUGAGUUUAGCUGGGUUAUCAUGAAGUCCUCCUCUUCCGAGUUCUUAUGGGAUCAUGGUGUGGAUGGGCUGCUACAGGUUGCAUCGAGCCUCCCUGAAUGCCUAUGUCGAGCGACAAUCUCCAGUGCCUCCGAAUGUGGAAACAGGUCCUUUAACGGGGCAGUUAAGGUAAAAGGAAGGCAUUAAUGUGGGUCCUAAGCUGUGUCGAGUGUCCUGUUAAGAAAAGGGGAUCAGGAUGAAGACACACACAGAGGACGCGGGGAGAAGACAGCUGUGUGCCGAUGGCUGUGUACAGUCAGGACGGACCAGCCCUACCUGUGUGCCGAUCUUGGCCUCCUGGCUUCCAGAACUGAGAAAAUAAAUUCCUACUGUUUAAGGCCC